CGCGUAGGCGGAUCUUUAAGUCGGGGGUGAAAGCCUGAGGCUCAACCUCAGAAUUGCCUUCGAUACUGGAGAUCUUGAGACCGGAAGAGGUGAGUGGAACUGCGAGUGUAGAGGUGAAAUUCGUAGAUAUUCGCAAGAACACCAGUGGCGAAGGCGGCUCACUGGUCCGGUUCUGACGCUGAGGCGCGAAAGCGUGGGGAGCAAACA
rnacentral:rRNA from 1 species